rnacentral:rRNA from 1 species
AAUGGGCGAAAGCGUGACGCAGCGACGCCGCGUGGGGGAUGAAGGCCCUCGGGUUGUAAACCCCUUUCGGCAGGGACGAAGGGAAACUGACGGUACCUGCAGAAGAAGUCCCGGCUAACUACGUGCCAGCAGCCGCGGUAACACGUAGGGGACGAGCGUUGUCCGGAAUUAUUGGGCGUAAAGCGCGCGUAGGCGGCUCGGAAAGUCGGUCGUGAAAGGCUGGGGCUCAACCCCAGGACUGCGUCCGAUACUUCCGAGCUGGAGGCAGGUAGGGGAGAUCGGAAUUCCUGGUGUAGCGGUGAAAUGCGCAGAUAUCAGGAGGAACACCGGUGGCGAAGGCGGAUCUCUGGGCCUUGCCUGACGCUGAGGCGCGAAAGCUAGGGGAGCGAACAGGAUUAGAUACCCUGGUAGUCCUAGCCGUAAACGUUGGGUGCUAGGUGUGGGCGGACAUCGACCCCGUCCGUGCCGAAGCUAACGCAUUAAGCACCCCGCCUGGGGAGUACGGCCGCAAGGCUA